rnacentral:tRNA from 1 species
GGCCCGUUCUUCUAAUGGCAGGAGGCUGGACUUUUGAUCCGGCGAUAUGGGUUCGAAUCCCGUACGGACUG